rnacentral:rRNA from 1 species
GACGAACGCUGGCGGCGUGCUUAACACAUGCAAGUCGAACGGAAAGGCCCUGCUUUUGUGGGGUGCUCGAGUGGCGAACGGGUGAGUAACACGUGAGUAACCUGCCCUUGACUUUGGGAUAAAUUCAGGAAACUGGGGCUAAUACCGGAUAGGAGCUCCUGCUGCAUGGGGGGGGUUGGAAAGUUUCGGCGGUUGGGGAUGGACUCGCGGCUUAUCAGCUUGUUGGUGGGGUAGUGGCUUACCAAGGCUUUGACGGGUAGCCGGCCUGAGAGGGUGACCGGCGACAUUGGGACUGAGAUACGGCCCAGACUCCUACGCGAGGCAGCAGUGGGAAAGAUUGCCCAAUGAGCGGCAGCCUGGUGCAGCAACGCCGCGUGCGGGAAGACGGCCUUCGGGGUGUAAACCGAUUUCGCCUGUGACGAAGCGUGAGUGACGGUAAUGGGUAAAGAAGCACCGGCUAACUACGUG